rnacentral:rRNA from 1 species
CCUACGGGGGACAGCAGUGAGGAAUAUUGGUCAAUGGGCGGGAGCCUGAACCAGCCAAGCCGCGUGCGGGAAGAAGGUACAGCGUAUCGUAAACCUCUUUUGUCAGGGAACAAAGGCGGGGACUAGUCCCCGGCUGAGGGUACCUGAAGAAAAAGCAUCGGCUAACUCCGUGCCAGCAGCCGCGGUAAUACGGAGGAUGCGAGCGUUAUCCGGAUUUAUGGGGUUUAAGGGGUGCGCAGGCGGCCUGUUAAGUCAGCGGUAAAAUCCCGGGGCUCAACCCCGGCGAGCCGUUGAAACUGGCGGGCUGGAGUUGGAUAGCAGUACGCGGAAUGCGCGGUGUAGCGGUGAAAUGCUUAGAGAUCGCGCAGAACCCCGAUUGCGAAGGCAGCGUACCGGCUCCACACUGACGCUGAGGCACGAAAGCGUGGGGAUCGAACAGGAUUAGAUACCCUUGUAGUC